rnacentral:rRNA from 1 species
GAUGAACGCUGGCGGCGUGCCUAAUACAUGCAAGUCGAGCGAACGGACGAGAAGCUUGCUUUUUUGAUGUUAGCGGCGGACGGGUGAGUAUCACGUGGAUAACCUACCUAUAAGACUGGGAUAACUUCGGGAAACCGGCGCUAAUACCGGAUAAUAUUUUGAACCGCAUGGUUCAAAAGUGAAAGACGGUCUUGCUGUCACUUAUAGAUGGAUCCGCGCUGCAUUAGCUAGUUGGUAAGGUAACGGCUUACCACGGCAACGAUGCGUAGCCGAACGGAGAGGGUGAUCGGCCGCCCGGGAAGGGAGACGCGGUCCAGAGGACUACGGGAGGCAGCAGUAGGGAAUCGGACGCAAUGGGGGGAAGCCUGACGGAGCAACGCCGCGCGAGUGAUGAAGGUCUUCCGAUCGUAAUGCCCGGUUAUUAGGGAAGAACAUAUGUGUAAGUAACUGUGCACAGAGUGACGGUAACUAAUCAGAAAGCCACGGCUAACUACGUG